rnacentral:rRNA from 1 species
UACGAAGGGGGCUAGCGUUGUUCGGAAUUACUGGGUUUAAAGGGUGCGUAGGCGGGCAGGUAAGUCAGGGGUGAAAUCUUCGAGCUUAACUCGGAAACUGCCUUUGAUACUAUCUGUCUUGAAUAUGGUGGAGGUAAGCGGAAUAUGUCAUGUAGCGGUGAAAUGCUUAGAUAUGACAUAGAACACCUAUUGCGAAGGCAGCUUACUACGCCUAUAUUGACGCUGAGGCACGAAAGCGUGGGGAUCAAACAGG